UCCCUGGUGGUCAAGUGGUUAAGACUCUGCACUUCCAAUACAGCGGGCACUGGUUCAAUCCCUGGUCAGGGAA